UGGACCAGUGACCGCUGGUGGCAUAUGAGUUGUGGAUAAUGAGAUCUACUGGUCGAGAGCUCUGAGGUCCAG